CCGAGUCUUAACUGGGCGUUAAGUUGCAGGGUAUAGACCCGAAACCCGGUGAUCUAGCCAUGGGCAGGUUGAAGGUUGGGUAACACUAACUGGAGGACCGAACCGACUAAUGUUGAAAAAUUAGCGGAUGACUUGUGGCUGGGGGUGAAAGGCCAAUCAAACCGGGAGAUAGCUGGUUCUCCCCGAAAGCUAUUUAGGUAGCGCCUCGUGAAUUCAUCUCCGGGGGUAGAGCACUGUUUCGGCAAGGGGGUCAUCCCGACUUACCAACCCGAUGCAAACUGCGAAUACCGGAGAAUGUUAUCACGGGAGACACACGGCGGGUGCUAACGUCCGUCGUGAAGAGGGAAACAACCCAGACCGCCAGCUAAGGUCCCAAAGUCAUGGUUAAGUGGGAAACGAUGUGGGAAGGCCCAGACAGCCAGGAUGUUGGCUUAGAAGCAGCCAUCAUUUAAAGAAAGCGUAAUAGCUCACUGGUCGAGUCGGCCUGCGCGGAAGAUGUAACGGGGCUAAACCAUGCACCGAAGCUGCGGCAGCGACGCUUAUGCGUUGUUGGGUAGGGGAGCGUUCUGUAAGCCUGCGAAGGUGUACUGUGAGGUAUGCUGGAGGUAUCAGAAGUGCGAAUGCUGACAUAAGUAACGAUAAAGCGGGUGAAAAGCCCGCUCGCCGGAAGACCAAGGGUUCCUGUCCAACGUUAAUCGGGGCAGGGUGAGUCGACCCCUAAGGCGAGGCCGAAAGGCGUAGUCGAUGGGAAACAGGUUAAUAUUCCUGUACUUGGUGUUACUGCGAAGGGGGGACGGAGAAGGCUAUGUUGGCCGGGCGACGGUUGUCCCGGUUUAAGCGUGUAGGCUGGUUUUCCAGGCAAAUCCGGAAAAUCAAGGCUGAGGCGUGAUGACGAGGCACUACGGUGCUGAAGCGACAAAUGCCCUGCUUCCAGGAAAAGCCUCUAAGCAUCAGGUAACAUC
rnacentral:rRNA from 1 species